CACAAAAAUGGAAAUGGUGCGGCCAGUUAAUGUUGCCUAACGUCUCCUGACCGCUAGGUUUUGUCGUAUGGGAGAAGUCGAGCGGGGCUGCCGGACUGACGCAGCCAUCGCUGGCGAUUAAUUACGGCGCCGUGGCGCUGGCACUUCGACAUGGUUGAUCCCUCUGCAGGCCGGGCUUCCUCUCAUCUCGGCCUCUCUGUAGCCUUCAAAGGGCUCUCCACUGCCUGCAAGACUGAACCUAGGCCUAGGCCAGGUAAGAAAGACGCCAUGGCUCCAGUGUCACUACUACUUCACACAUUUCAAUGUGACUUUGGUUCUGGAUUGUGUCAGCAUUACUCGUCCAUUUUCCAGCUCUUAUAGUCAGUUAUAACAAAGAUGAGAAUAGAUGAUGAAUAUGUGAGGACGUAAUAGGUAAUAAUGAUCAUUUUGACAGAGUUUUAGAUGUGUCUUUAGGUGUGAAAAGAUUAAGGUGUGGUUGCCCGACACCACACUCCUAACCAAGCCUCACGACCAUUUCUAGAUGAAAUAUAGUAAUGGUCCGUCUGUGCUCAGUAUUUUUCCCUCCUUCCCUACCCGUCAAGCCAGGCCUUUGUAACAGACUGCAGAGGCUGCCUCUCCCCCUCAGCUCAUUCAGCAUCACACCCUGCCCUUGUGCUGGACAUCAAAUGACCAGCUCACCCCCUGAGGAGCUCUCAAGUUUCUUCAUUUCAGCAGCCGCCUGGCUCUCCCCUGGUCAGCAGCCGGCCACGCGGGGAGAGGGGACAUCUGCCUGUCUGAGGAUAAGGGACAGGCUGGCUCACUAUCCGUCUGUCAGCCCCUCCGACUGGACCCCUCAAGUCACUGCUCCACUCCCUCCUUGUUAUUCUGUGGAGAGAGCACAGGGAUCUGAUAUGAGGCAUUGUUUGUGCCAUGCUGGUCAGGCGGACAGAGCGGACUGAGGCUAAUGCACAUGGCAUGAUCUGCGACAGGAAAUAACGCUGUUUGGCACAAGCUUCUGAAAACUAAAAAAAAUCACUUGUUAGCACAUUGUAACUGGAACAUUAACAUACAUUUAAUCAGUGGGACAGUAGGCUUUAAAUCAUGCACAAAUUUAAGUCAACAGUGCUAGAAACCGUUGAUGCAUGCAAGAGAUUGUCUCUUCUACGCUGAUGUAAACGUGUUGCUUUAAUGAUUAUUCUGUAAUGAUUAUCUCUACCUAAUUACACGUGGUUUGCCAUCAAAGAAAGGCAGAGCGAUCGAUAGAGACAUAUUUACAUAAAAAUCUAUUUCACCCUAACUGAAGGAUAAGGACUGAGCUCCCUGGAGAAAGAUGCCCUUCGGCUUUCUCGCCUGUCUAACCGGCCAAGUACGUUGUUUGCCUCCUAAACUUAAUAUUUGUUCUCUUCCUGCAAUGAUUAUUAAAUGGGGUUAGAGUGCGAUAACAUGUGGCUAAAGGAAGUGAAGAGUCUCACUAAAUCAGUAUACAAAUGUUAAUUACCCAUCAAACUGGCGACCUGCUGCUUGAGUUUCAGUUUAAUUGGAUUAAAUGGAAACUAUUUUUAAAACAACCAUAUACAGUUUUUACGAGUUGUCUAUACGUGUACUUCAAAUUGUUAUAUACUCAAGUUUCAUCAUACUAGUACUUAUUUUUGAUUGGCUAUUGCCAAUGUAAAACCGAACACCGGUGUAGAAUGUGGCUCCCCGGUGCACGGAGAGAAGCAUUGCGCUGUAAAUGAUCUUGUGCGGCUGACUGCUGGCCAGCGGCCACAUCUAUACGAGCAGAGUAGGACCACUCCGAAGAGCUCACACCUCCUGGACCAAGCCGGAGGUGAAGGAGAGAGUAUCGCACUCUGCAAGGGUAAUUACUGCUGGCUGAAAUUACUCAACAUUUGUUUAUUAGCUCCCCAGAGCACACUGUAAAUAGAUUGUCUGUUAUAGUCCGAUCACAUUAAAACCUCGUGCUGCGCAACACCCCCUCCCCCUUCACCCCCCCCAAUUCCCCCUCACCCCCCUCUCCCCCCACCCCCUGCGUUUGCUGUGAGCCAGCCUGCUGCUCACUUAUUGAACAGCUAGAACCAAGGAGCCAUGUUAAAUGUGAUUGUUUUCCAUUAGCUACAUCCUGUCUAAUACCUCACUUGUGCGGUGCAAUUACUGAAUUCUGCCAUGCAACCUUCAUUAGCUGAAUGUAGAGUCCUGCAGCUCCAAUGGUCCCCUUACCAUUUUUCAUUUGUGUUUUUUGUAUUUAUGAGUGGGGUGUGAGUUUUAAUUUAAUAUUGAUUCCUACGUAGACACCCCGUGCCUGCGCUUUGUGUAGAACACGGUCACCAUGUUUUAAGUGUAUUGAGUGAUCGAACAAAACAAAAAAGAAAAAAAAUCUCUCCAUGUAUUCAUCGUGCCGGUUCCUGUCAAAGAUGACAUUCUGAAACAUUUGACCCACUAAGAAUGAAUUCUUGGCCAGAAUACAUGUGACAGUGGAAAGCAAUUCAAUUCAAGGAGAUAAAAAGCAGAGGUAUGCAAUAGUCCUGUCAAAAGGGAAAAAAGACAGAGAGGGGGAUGGAAAAUGUGAAUGAAAUUUGUAUUCACGAAUGUCUGCACAGAAAUCCUUUUACAGAGUUUGAAACAGGAUACCAAAUAACUCAUCGCCAGACAACACUUGAACACUUAGGCGAUAAUAACCCAAACUGCUGUUUUGCUGGCAGAGACAUUUGUAACAAAGAUAUUUAGGUGUAAAAAUCUAAGCUAGAACUAAAACAGCAUGCUUUGUGUGGCUGUGACAGGUGGAGCACGGCUCUCUGGGAGCCCGGGUAAUAAAACGCUAUCUCUCAGUGGCAUCUUCCCUUUUCCUCUAAUGUUACUCUAAUAAAAGUAACUGCUGGGGUGACUACGCACAAAUAAGGGCCAAAAGCUGCAGGACAUCUACCCCAGCCCCCUGGAGUCCCAUUGCACACACCUAAUGGCCACUCCGAGCUUCAUUAGGAUAUUAAUUCUCUGCGUUUCUGAAGUGAUUCCAUCCUUAAUGUGACAGCAUCUGGCUGCAAGCGGGGAAACUUGUUGUUAUUGUUGUUCCCUUCCAUUCCACCCAUUUUAUCCUCCGACCCCCUUCCUUCCCUCAGAAUAUUUCUAUUCUCACAGCGCCACUGUCUCAGUUUUUAAGAGGAAUCUGAUAAUACUGGGUGUCCUUUGAGAUGGAGGCCGGCGCUCUGAGCACUGCCAAAAGCUUUGCUCAAUCUAACCAGGGGAGCAGAUGGUCAGGUCCACCACAGGUCGAGGAUGUCGGGGUCCAGGAUUCACAGCCAGCAGCAUGUGGAGCGCAUGUGGCAAUAAAGGAUUUGUUUCUGAAAGACACAUGGAAAAAAACAUCAUCAGGGGUUGAUGAUGCCAAACUCAGGGACACUGGCAAAAGUGGCUGAGGAGAACAGGAGAAGCCCAGCUGAUUGGAAACAUCUGGGUGAUUGUAGGGUGCACUCCCACAUCAUCCAGCGCUGGCUGAGAUUUGACAGUGCCCUCUGAAGUGACAGCUUUGACCUCGGUCAGCGUGCAUGCGUGCAGCUGCCAGAGACCGGUCUGGCUGAAAAAGAGGACAGAGCCAGCCGCUCCAGGCACUAGAGGGUACCGCAGCUUUCUGACGGGAGCUCUGUUGACAGCAAACGUUUCAGUCAGGGAUAAAAUACAACCAGCUCGUCAUUGUGUUUGGUCCCAAAAAUAACAGCUUAUCAGAAUAUUUGGGGCACGUUGGGAGAUGUGUGCUAGACAUAUGUGUGUGUGUGUGUGUGUGUGUGUGUGUGUGUGUGUGUGUGUGUGUGUGUGUGUGUUGUUUGCUCAAAAAUAUGAAUUCCCUGUGUUGUGAUUUUUAUCAUUUUCAUCACUUUUUGUUGUGUUUCGAUGUUCAAUGUACAGUAGCUCUACAACAGUUCAGUACAAUAUAUUGAUUUUGUUCUAAAAAGUUUUUGCAAAAUUAUACUCCCAUGCACUUACCAAAAUGCAGCUGUUUUAAAUCCAAUGAUCUUCAGCAGAUGUUAAUUGUUAUUCCAAACUGAUGGAAACAUGUAGAAUGCACACAAUACCUUUCAGAUGUUCCCUGCAUGUUACUCAAUGACAAACUGGGAAUUCUACGCCUGUUUGUUUCUUUGUGGAGCAGGUUAUACAUUUUAUUUUUUCCUUUAUCUUUUAGCAAAGCAUAUUGAUGCUCGUCAUUAGAUAUUGCAGCUCAGCAUCACCAAAUAAUGGCAUUAAUAUUAAUGCAUAUGGAAAUUAACUUUUUUUAAGAGGAGCGCUUAUUCAUAUUUGAUUCAUUAAUGUAAUGAAUGCAAGGAAUGCAUAGAUAAUAUGUUCUUGUGUCCUUGAUAUGCAAUGGGAAGUAUUAAACUGACUUAAAUUCAAGAUAGGUAUGCCUAAACUGCAGCAAUCUACGCUAGAAUAUAGAGGCCAUAAACUCUCCGUAAAAGGACUGCAGAAAACCUACAAUAUUACAGAUUAAACAAAACAGUGAAAUGGAGUUAAUUUGCAUCACCCUGUUCUUUUCAGAGGAGCUAAACUGCUUACCAUUAUUCAAAGAUAUCUUUUAAAUAAGGCCCAAAUAUGCGGGUGAAACCAAUUUAACGAGUGGCCACCAAAGACGUUUGUCGAAUGAUCUAUAUUGAGAUUUUCGCUGUGUAAGCCUCUUAUCAUAGCUGCUAUAAAACACACAUCAUUCUGUUUCAGGACUGAAUUUCAGAGAUAUGAAAAUACAAUAAAUGUGACAUUUUAAAGCUCAGCUUACUUAUUAAUUGCAAAACCAUCUCAAAUUGAACUUGGGGACUUAAUAAGUGCAAAUUUGCGUUGAGGAAUGAGAUUCACUCAUGAAAAGUAAAAGAAUCCUGGCUGAUUGUGUUUCACAAGAGAUGAAGCAAAGGUCCAGUAUUGCAGGUCAUUUUAUUCAACAGCUAAUCAAGUUGUGUUACAGGUGCUUUCUUUAUUUAAGUGACUUAUUUUUACUUUAUCAGGAAGUGAAAAUAAAAUGACUUUGUGUCGGGUGUUGCCUUGCAACGUUUUUUGUCCAUGUGCUCAAAAGGCCUUUUGCGGAACGUCACAAAGGGUUGGAAGAUAAUCACAUUUGCAUGUAGCAGGGGACAAUAAGGACAACAUCACUCAGACAUGAGAGUUUAAUCAUCUCAAAGAAGAACAAAUGAAUGGAUCCUCUUUAACCGUCUGCUAAUAACCAGCAUGGAGCAAAGGAAUCGCUGAACACCUUGUUCAGCAGCAGCGUGAUGCAUCAUGUGUAGGUGUGCGUCAACAGUAUUGUGUCUUUAGCAAGCUUCCACUGCGAACCCUAACAGCCAACAUCCAACCACGCAGACACAUCCUGACACUCACAGACGCCGCAGCCCUCAACCUGUCAGCAGAUGGUGCGGCUACUUAUUUGCUUUAAUUACCUGUUUGACAUCAGCGAUUGCUCUUGUGUCGAGUGAAACAAAAAUAGUCUUUUCUAUUAGCCAGCCAUUACAACAAGUCCAAUGUUACUGGGCAAAUAAACUCACUAAUGAGCUGCAAAAACGUCAGCCUAAGUUCACAAAAGGUAUCGUGAAUGAUGUGAUUUCGAAAGGGUAUUAAUGCUAAAAGUGAUAUUGAAUUUAAUGGAAAGGACUCUUGAAAACAUUAUCAGCAAACUUUGUUCUAUGUUAUCCACUUUGUGUCUUUACACCCACUAUGUGGCUUAUUAGGCUCUCUUUCCAGUUCCGUAAACACUGCACACUCCACACACAGCACGGUAAAGAUGGAUGAGCAACACCACCCAGUUACUACAGCCACAUUUAUUUAGAAACAGUGGGGAGAGUUUUUGGAGGUGAGGAAUAAUUCCAGCCAGCGGUUGGUGCCCAGUUUGAGAAAGAGGAGGGGGACCACCAUGGGGCACCUGACAGUGAUGAAGAGCAUGGGCACAUGCUGGCAGAUUCAUCUUGAGCCACAGCGAGCGAGAGAGGGUUAGCAGGAGAGGCGGUGUGAGAGAGAGAGGGCGCUCAGUAGGGAGGGCAGACAAUGGCAGAACAAUGGUUUAACAAUAAAAACAGCACAGAGUGUUGUCUUUGAGGUUUAUUCCGCAGCAGCGAGGCGCUGCAACUCUCUUUUCAACCUGCUGAAAAGAGUGAAGCAGAAAAGGGGAAAAGACAAGGCGAGCGUGUUGUGAUUUCUUUUUUUGAUUUAGAAAUUGACACGGAGCUUUCAAAA